UUUACUUCUUACUGAUGCUUUUUCUGUCAUUCAUUUAUUGCCCUCCCUGAAAGUUGCCACAUGUGCGAGUUUUGUAACUCAGUGACGGUUUUGAAUAGAGAGCCCCCCAACUUAUCAAUUGUCAGGCACAUCAAUAUCAAUUUUUCAGUCUGCAUGCAAGUGUAAAAUACUAUUAGUAAAAUCCUAAAUUAAUUUGCCAUGCAUUUCGUUUGGCUUUCUUCCUGCAACACAGCAUGAAACCAUAAGUAAAAGAAACAGUAGACAAAUUGCAUUUGCAGCAAAAAGCAUCUAAGGUGAAUAUGGGUAUUCCUCAACGCAUCCAAUAAUAUCCAGGAUCUGAUUAGCUAAGGCCUGUAGUCAAAGAUUGUGUGCCUUAACCCAUCAGAUGCAAAUUAAAAGAAACAUGACAAUGCAAAUUCACAUAAUAGCAAUCUGAAUAUAUAUAUCACUUGAUAACAUGGACACUAUCACUGACUCAAAUUAGCAAAUCUAAUAACCAAAGAAAGACGGUGUCGGACUCGUAAACCACAAAGAAUCAUUGGAUUCCAUCAAUUUACAGAAGGACGGUGUCGUAAAAAAAGCCGUCUCCAUAUACCAUAGUUAAGAUCCUUCAUCAUUCUAUACAAGAGAUAAGUCCUUCUAAAGGUAAAUACUUUUCUAAUCUUUUCAUCCUAUUUAUAAAUACCAACAUAGUAAUGAAAGAUAACUAUGGCCACCGGAACACAAGAAUCGGCCCUUUUCCUGCAUUAAGAAUGAAGCCUCCCACACCACAGCGACAAGAUCCCUAAUUUCCUCGUAACUCUUAACUGAGGUUUAAAACUAUAGGCUGGGAUCAUAUGUACGUAAAAGAAAGACGAAAAUUUAGUUACUCCUAAGGUAAAAAACUUAGAAUAUGUACUCCUUAAGUAUGUCAACAAAGCACUGUCAAAUUCCGUUUGCUCCAAAAGCACCUAAGAAUUCUCAAAGAAAAACAUUACCUGAAUAGUUUUAUCUCUCAUCCAUGACAAAAGAACAAGAGCGCAAAUUAGUAAUCGACCGACUACCUCGUCAUUGCUACAGGAAGAAGUACAAACAGAUAUGAUGGAUUGGAAUCUCUAGAAAUCUGAUCUUGGUUGUAAGAUACAAAAAGUACACGCUUCAAACUCGUAGCAACCGCUAAAAUUACUAUGCUCAGAUUAUGAAGUUGAUUCAGAACCUGAAGGAUAUUAUUAUACGUUAAAUUUACAUGCAAUGUCAUGGGUUUCUAAUGCUAUUCUUUCCAUAAAAUUUGAUUUUCACCUGAGUAACCCAAAUAAUAAGGAUAUAGAAUCAACUCGAUACAAAUUAUCAAACUGAAACCAUAAUUUUUUUUUAUUGUUUCUUCAGUAUAAACCAAAUCGAAUUAGAUGGAAUGAAUAUUACUUAGACUAAACCCAGCUUAUUGUCACUUGAACCGUGAAAUGACUGGAGAACAACAAAAUUGACGAAAUUUGACAGGUUUUCAGUGAAGUCUUCCUUUUCAAUACAUUUUUUUUUUUUUCAUUCAAAAAAUUCGAAGCCAAUAUGUUGUUUAAAAAAUCUAAAUUCAGUAUAACUUGCACCAAUGAAAUGUUAGUGCUUCCGAAGGUGCGUGAUUUAACGAACAAAGCAAAAAGAAAAUCAUAAAGAAAAAUGUUUUCAAGUAGAACAUGUGCCUAAAGUCAUGAACAUAUGGAUGUUAUGCCCAACCAAAAACCACGGAACAGAAACAGAACAAAUCUCAAGAAAUUAAAUCCUUCAGCUUCAACUUACGAUUCAGUGCAGUGUGAGAAUGCAUCAGAACACGAACAACCGAAAUCCUCGUAACCAUCAUCAAAGUCCACGACAUUUGACUACAAUCGAAACGACAGGUUCAAGCGAAAAACAGAACAACCGACAGGCUAUGAAGAGGAUUUGAAUGUACCUGAAGAAAUUGAGCAGUUUGAAGAGAUCUGUGUCCUCGGAAAUCGUCUCGAAACGACGUCAAUCCGAUGCUCCAUACGUUCGUUUCGUUCGGACUUCGAAGACCCUUUGCUGAAGCGAUUCAGGUUGUAUGAUGGAUUAUGUCGAGCCAAAAACGGUGCCGUUCUGCGCAACGUGUUGUGAGGUUGAAGAUGAGAAAGCGAAAUGCCGAAACAGCGCGCAUUCGCGUAGGCCCCACACACAGUUACCAUUCGCGACGCUAUUUGGAAUGCGGGACCUAUUAUUAAG
rnacentral:lncRNA from 1 species